rnacentral:lncRNA from 1 species
UUAGCGGUAGCCUCUGGCUCCUCCUCCCUACGUGCUUCUUCGAAGUGUGCUUCAUGAUAGUCAUUUAACAUGUCUCCCACCCCGGCAUCAUCAUCAAAUUCCUCGAUGCGUUGUCUCAAGACCUCCUCUCUCCCACGGUCAGAUUCACCAUGGUAGAUCCACCUGGUAUAGUCUGACGUAAAUCCGUUCUUCACCAGAUGUUUGCCCAUGUCUAGCUUGGUUUGCCGACGCAUGUUUCCACAUUUGCUGCACGGACACCAAGUCGAUCGAGCUCCAUUGACACUUGCAAACGCCCGUUCCAAGAAAGCAUCCG